ACACAUGCAAGUCGAGGGGCAGCGGGAUUGAAGCUUGCUUCAAUUGCCGGCGACCGGCGCACGGGUGAGUAACGCGUAUCCAACCUUCCGUACACUCAGGGAUAGCCUUUCGAAAGAAAGAUUAAUACCUGAUGGUAUGAUGAGAUCGCAUGAUAGCAUCAUUAAAGAUUUAUCGGUGUACGAUGGGGAUGCGUUCCAUUAGGUAGUAGGCGGGGUAACGGCCCACCUAGCCUACGAUGGAUAGGGGUUCUGAGAGGAAGGUCCCCCACAUUGGAACUGAGACACGGUCCAAACUCCUACGGGAGGCAGCAGUGAGGAAUAUUGGUCAAUGGACGAGAGUCUGAACCAGCCAAGUAGCGUGAAGGAUGAAGGUCUUACGGAUUGUAAACUUCUUUUAUAAGGGAAUAAACCCUCCCACGUGUGGGAGCUUGUAUGUACCUUAUGAAUAAGCAUCGGCUAACUCCGUGCCAGCAGCCGCGGUAAUACGGAGGAUGCGAGCGUUAUCCGGAUUUAUUGGGUUUAAAGGGAGCGCAGACGGGUCGUUAAGUCAGCUGUGAAAGUUUGGGGCUCAACCUUAAAAUUGCAGUUGAUACUGGCGUCCUUGAGUGCGGUUGAGGUGUGCGGAAUUCGUGGUGUAGCGGUGAAAUGCUUAGAUAUCACGAAGAACUCCGAUUGCGAAGGCAGCACACUAAUCCGUAACUGACGUUCAUGCUCGAAAGUGUGGGUAUCAAACAGGAUUAGAUACCCUGGUAGUCCACACGGUAAACGAUGGAUACUCGCUGUUGGCGAUAUACGGUCAGCGGCUUAGCGAAAGCGUUAAGUAUCCCACCUGGGG
rnacentral:rRNA from 1 species